UGAAACAAUGAAAUCUAUGUAUCAUGAAAAAAGAGUUAUGAUUAAUCUAAUUCUAUGCACCUGAAGUCCUAU
rnacentral:snoRNA from 1 species